rnacentral:rRNA from 1 species
AUUAAGGCCCUCUGGGUUGUAAACUCCUUUUAUCUGGGAAGAAAUGUCCCGAUUCUUCGGGACUUGACGGUACCAGAGGAAUAAGCACCGGCUAACUCCGUGC